UUUCAGCAAACCCAUGGAGGAGGUAGUUCGCAUAACCAUAAUGGCUCCAAGAAUGGUAAUGGGAAUGGAGGAGGAAACGGACAGAACCGCACCAACCCAUCUACCCCAACCAAGAGAGAUCUAAGUCACAUUACCUGUUUCAAGUGCCAGAAGACGGGACAUUACGCUACCGAUUGUCCCGAAGCCCAAAAUGGAAAUGGCAAUGGAAGCUCUGGGAAGAAGCCGAACCCGUUCAACAAAGGACAUGUGAACCACGUGAGCGUGGAGGAGAUUGAAGCUCAGCCUGAUGCAGUAAUAGGUAAGUUUUUGGUUAAGUCAUUUACUGCAACUAUUCUUUUCGAUACUGGUGCAUCGCAUUCAUACAUAUCAAGGGGAUUCGUAAACAAGUUUAAGAUGUCCACCCAAGUCCUCAAAAGCCCCAUGUUAGUAACCUCGCCAGGAGCAGAGUAUAUGGCCACCCAAGGAUGUUUUCAGAUACCAUUGGCCAUUGGUAGGCAUGUUUUCCCC
rnacentral:rRNA from 1 species